UAGAAUAUGGUGUAGUGUGGGUAGCACAAAGAUUUUUGAAUUCUUAGGGGUAGGUUCAAUUCCUACAAUUCUAG
rnacentral:tRNA from 1 species